ensembl:lncRNA
GUUGCAUUUCAUUCCAUAGUUAUAGGGAUUUCAGGUGGCUCUCCACUUCCCUGUAACUGCUAAGGAACUGACUCCUGUGCCUUACUUUUAAGAAGAAAAUGUACAACUGCAAAGUUUUCAAAACUCUAGAAUUCUGACCACCUAAGUUCCAUAAGAAAAUGAUGAGCUCUGAGCCAGCAUAAUUGGGUCCCAGGAGAUCACAACAGCCGUUUUGACCCCUAUUCAGGAAAGUAUUUAUUGAUUUAUAAAACACAUAGUAAUAAAAGAACCCUGCAAAAGGCACAAGUGACCUAAGGAAACAGUUUAAAAUGUUGUCUAAUCUUGGUUGAUUGGCAGAGACCCAGUACAUUCUGAGUGCGGUAAAGCUAGUUGUACUGAGACAUUUGGCUUUCUUGGAUUCCUCCAAACCAGUCUGCUGGUCCCCCAGCAUGCUUCCAGACCAUAGGGUGGAAAUCAUUCUAUAGAUAGGUAACACAAGAAAAAUAACAACCUUUGGAUCAUAGGCAGCCUCCAAUUAAUAUACUCAAAUAGGCUUUCAGUGCAAGGUUCACUGCCUAAACUUUAGCUCAUUUAUUUUAGUUCUUAAAGCCUUACAGGAAUGCCUAAGCUCUCUAAAGAGCUAAAGGUGUAAACAGUGACUUUCACUCAUGGCCUUAGCAUUUUCAGUGAUAGCAUGUAAUUGUUUAUGGCACUCUUUUAAUGACAAAAUAACAACAAAUACUCUGCCAAAGACAUGGGAGAAAGAUAAAACAUUCACGGUGCACGUGAGUCUUGUCAUUCUCUGAUUUUAGUUUUCCUCAUUCAGGUAGUUUAUUUCAGCUAAUAUCAGUCCUUAAUGCCCACGCAAUGCAAAAUCUCCCAUUACAUGUGCAUUCAGACAUCACAGUUGUAUUUGGGAAAUGAAUCAUUUAUAUUAGUUUAGACAACAACAUAUUCAGUGGGAGAGAAUGACUGAUCCAUACAAAUACUAUCUGGAACAAGAGUGCAUGAUGAAGCAUCUCUUAUUGAUUAGAAGAUUUGUUCUUGUUUAUGGUAUUUUACAACAUCCUUAAUCAAGUCUCUUCUAAAAGAUUCCAGCAAGAUUUAAGGAAAUUCUUGAUUUUGAUGAAUAGGCUGUCAAGCAAGGUUAGACAUACAAUGUUUUUAACCAUUAGCUGGAGCUUACAUUCUCAUUUCAGAGACAGAUGCAAGUCCAAAUGUGUAAUUAUGAACAAACAAACAAACAAAAAACCCACAUGUACUCCCUAAAAAAAUGAUAUAUUUGCUUUGAAAGUAUUGGCAUUCUACUCUUAAAAAAUGCUGUUACCAUCACAUGAAGUGAUUUCUUUCUGAGAUACUGUAUACACUUUGCAGCCAGUUCAUCACAGAUCUCUGUCUUUGUGAGCUAUAACACAGAUAUAUCUGUCUCCGCAACAAAUACAAGCACUGGAAAUCAUCUUCAAUGCACUUCCAACUUGAUGUCUUGCUUUGGCAGCCAUUUCAAAUUUUUCUCUUUAACAUUGAAAUGAACGGAAGCAUUGUAAAAGCCUAAGAGGAAAGUCUGAUACACAAGACCUCUCCUUCAUGAAAACAACGAAAUAAGUGAAAUUGUAAUGGGAUUCAAUGGGGAUGAGAAGUAACUGGAAAUUAGUUGCUAAUGAUUAUCAGCAUUUGUAUAAAUGAACAGUAAGCUGUACAGAGAUUCCAGAUGUCUGGCCUUGAAUCUCAAACCUCAAAUCAAAUACUUUAAGCUUGCAAUUGUUUCUCUUAGCCUAUAGCUUUCAUGAAGGGGAUAAAUGCACAUGAUGCUGGCAUAUACAUUUCAAAACUUUCCAAUAUGCAUCUUUAGGAUUAAAUACAAAUUUUUUUACAAAUGCUUCACUGCAACAAAGAUUACCUCCAAGUAAAUAUCCACUUUAAUAUGGUCACUUUUUCUUUUUACUUUUACAGAUAGUAUUUGGACUUUCUGGAAGACUACAAGACUCUAGUGCAGACAAACAAACAUUCAGGCAAUAAAAUACCAUCACUUCUUUUGUUCAUAAGAAGCCUUUUAUGUGGAAAAUAAAAAAUUAGCAUUAUCUUCUAAUACCUAUAGGAGGAUUUCAGCUGGCCCAAGUGAACAGAAUAAGCACUGCAUCACUGGUAUGUUAAAUUUUUAAAGUAUCAACCUUCUUUUGAUUUAGAACUGAUAUCCAGUUCAUCUUUUAUCUAACUUUUUCUGCAGGUGUAUGCUAAGCACGGAGCACAUAGACUUGAAAAAGCACUGAAAUGAAGCAGUGCUCAAAAUAAUGUGAAUGCUUCUUAUAAAGUUGGAGACUUGAUUUAUUAGAAAUGGUUCAAACAUUUUUCCUAAUUAUUGUGAGCAAAGUGCCUAACAAAACUAGAAAAAUGUCUCCAGUUUGGACUCCACUGAGACUAAUACUCAUCCUUCACACUUCAAAGGGCAAAGUUGGGUAGGAGAGAAGACAGAGCAUUGGUUUUAGUCUUAGUCAGAACACUAAAAAGGGCCAUUUAAUGUUAGUAUGUGAGCCAUAGCUAUGUUUUUCAAAUAAAAUUGAAAAUAAAUCUUGAAGUUGAGUUGAAAAAUCUUGCUAUUACCUCAUAACCAUAUUUCUCUUCACAUCUUAAGAGUCAGAGAGAUUCAGAAAUAUAUGCAACACUUUCCCUAGUACUUCAAGGAAGUUGUGCUUCCAUUUUUGAUAGAUAAAACAAGGCAUAGAGUCAAGAUUCAUCUCUGGAAAUGAAUCUAAAUCAGGGUUAGGAAUUUGAUGGUGGGCAUCAUAUUGCCCACCUUUAGAUUUCGAAAAGAGAGAUGCCUGAAGGUGACACACUGAUCUGUAGAUUUAGUUCAUAGAUAACAAUCUUGGCCUAUGUCUGACAAAUUUCAGAUCUCUCUUUUUAGCUUUUUUUUUUUUUUUCCUGCUGUGUUAGACAACUUACCCAUUCAAUGUAAUAUCUGUGCCAAUGGCCAUUCUGGGCUGCCUUAUUCUGUAUUUAUAUGUCAGGUUAUACACUGUAUUCUAGAAGCAAAUGCAACAUCAAAGUCUCUUUGGAGAUAUGUCUCAGAAUGAUUUGCCAACAGGCAUGAACCUAGCUAUUGUUAGCACCUAAAUUAGGAUUCUAGGAGAUCUGGCUUCCAGUUCAAACCACAAAAACGUGAGAGAUCUCUAGUGAGAGAUAUCUAAUGCUCAGAAAGCUAUAGAACCCUACACCUAAUUUAUAUAUACAGUCACUGUUAAGCCAUAUAUAAAAAUCAGCUAAACAUUACCUUAGCAACUCCAUGCUGAACAUGGUCCUGGUAUCAAAGCACACACAAGAAAAGAUAGUACCUUCUUUCCCACUGUUCAUGAUUUGAUUUCCACAUAAAACCUACCGGGUAUGACAGAAACCAAACUUCAUGAAGUUAACCCUUUAUACAUUUUUUCUUGGUUGUUUAUCUCAACUAUUUAACAAUGUGACCAAUCCUGACAACUUUAUAUUAGUGUAUUAAAAGCUGCUCACUUCCCAAUUUCAUUUAGCCUAGGUUGAAGUCAAGACUUCAAAAGUACAUUUCUUUCCAAAUGCACAAAUAAUCUUGGGUCAAAUGAAAAGCAACGUUGAUAAACCUCUUUUGCUACUGCAGCAGACCAAUGAAAAACAAUAUCUGUGGUAUAGCUGGAAUUCUCUCAAAUACCUGUAAGAUAAGACCACUGUCAUUACAACAGGCUGAAGGUUUAAGAAGUGGUCAAAGAAGGGAGUCCUGUAGAGAUGGGAUGGUGUUGAUCUGUCCAAAACUCCCCUUAUUGCUGCAGAAGUUUUGACUACAAACUUGUUUAUUGCAAACUUGUUGACAAACAGACUUGCGUCUAGCAGGCAUAAAAGUAUGCUCUAGUGAAGCUUGGUAGGGGCUCUGAGACUUUGAAACUUUGGGGUCAGCGCUCUCACAGACCAAGUAUCCCCAUUGACUGGACCAAUGCUGGAAACAAACCAGUGAUCUCAUUCUUGGUCUGUCUCUCAAUCUCUCAUUCUUUCUUUUUCCCUCAUAAAGUUUUUAAGAGUCACAUAGUUUAGCUGCACAGCUUAGGUAGAUAUAACUGUAAGAGUGCCAAUACUUUUAAGAUAAUUGUAGUACAGAAAUUUCUCAUUAAAAUUGAUGAUUAUAUUUGGACUUUGAGCAUCAGUUUCACCUUAAUCUAACCAGGGGAGAUUUACAAAUUUGGUCACCUCUCCCUCCCUUCACGAGCAGAAUGUGACAGCUUUUGAAAUUAGAGAGCACUUACUCUAAAGCAUGUCUUCUGACUUAGCCUUCUGUGACAUGAACAGUAUGGUAAACAUUUUAAUUUGGGACUUUGAUAGAAGGAAUGACACGAAAGUGUAAAACUGUUUUUGUCAUCCUGCCAGUGGUGUAUGAAGAAAAUACUUUGUCUGAAAGCAAACAAGGAAGGAUUUGGAAGUGCAAGUAACAAGGCUGGAGAUGUGUUACAGGUCAAGCUAGUAGGUCAUUGACAGAACUUGACAUUUCUCUUCUAUUCCUUAUCUCGAUGAAAAAACCCAAAGUUUAAUAGAUCAUUACACAAAGAAAGCACUAUUGCCAAUACUAGUAUUGAUACUAAAAAUCUUGUUUUGACAUCUAGAGUGGUCUUGCUAUCAACACGAUUAAUCACCAACAGCUAGUCAACUUGGCAACAUUAGCAGUAAUUUAACAAAGUUUACCAACUUAUCUUUUAACUUGCCUGCAUGGCCAGUGCAACUCAUUAACAAAAAUAUUAAAAAUGUUUUGAUGAUAUGUUUUCAUGUCGUAUUUUUCUUUUUCUUUUUCCUUGACUAGUUAAGAGCAAAUAUAACCGUCAAUAGAUAUGCAUUUGUGAGAAAGCUGCAGGAAGUCAGGUAGAAAAUGACUAACAAGGAAGACUUAUGACACCAGUAACAUCAAAAUGUAUAAUAAAUUUCAGAACUAUUUGAUCAAGCUUUGCAUUCAUACAUGUAUGUGUACAUCUACCAGCCACACUUAUGGCUGUAACUUAUCAUUAUGUUUAAGUGUUAAAAUACUGUGGAAAAUUCCUUUGGGCAGUAAAAUUUUGAACUUUUUGCUGUACUGAUGUUGCUGCAGAAGUCAUUUUAAGUUUUGGGAACUAUGUACACCAAACGUAGGUGUACACACAGUGUAGGUCUGAAGACAAUCUUGAAAGUGAUUAGGGUACUCCUGAUUCUGAAAAAACUAAGAUAACUUCAUUGAAGAACAUCUGGCAAUCUAAUACAUUUUUGUUAGUGAACAAGCAGUAGAUAGGUUUCAAUUUUUACAGAUGUGUAAUUAUCCAAAAUUCUUUGGUGAAAGCCUAUAGCUUGCUUGUGAAUUAGUACAUUGGACUUUUUUAAAGUGAUGAGCCUUUUAUUAUUCAUUCUGUGUUGUAACUGAAGAUGGCAACAUUUUAUAAUCACAGAACCAUAGAAUGGCUUGGUUUGGAAGGGACAUUAAAGACCUUCUAGUUCCAACCCCCUGCCUUGGGCAGGGUUGUCAGCCACUAGAUCUGGCUGCACAAGGACCCAUGAAGCUUGGCCAUGA